rnacentral:rRNA from 1 species
AGCCGGUACUCGCGAAUGCUCUAGAUUAAGUUGAUCAUGGCUCAGACUGAACGCUNAGCGGCAGUGCCUAACACAUGCAAGUCGAACGGUAACAGGAAGCAGCUUGCUGCUCGCUGACGAGUGGCGGACGGGUGAGUAAUGUCUGGGAAACUGCCUGAUGGAGGGGGAUAACUACUGGAAACGGUAGCUAAUACCGCAUAACGUCGCAAGACCAAAGAGGGGGACCUUCGGGCCUCUUGCCAUCGGAUGUGCCCAGAUGGGACUAGCUAGUAGGUGGGGUAACGGCUCACCUAGGCGACGAUCCCUAGCUGGUCUGAGAGGAUGACCAGCCACACUGGAACUGAGACACGGUCCAGACUCCUACGGGAGGCAGCAGUGGGGAAUAUUGCACAAUGGGCGCAAGCCUGAUGCAGCCAUGCCGCGUGUAUGAAGAAGGCCUUCGGGUUGUAAAGUACUUUCAGCGGGGCAGGAAGGCGAUAAGGUUAAUAACCUUGUCGAUUGACGUUACCCGCAGAAGAAGCACCGGCUAACUCCGUGCCAGCAGCCGCGGUAAUACGGAGGGUGCAAGCGUUAAUCGGAAUUACUGGGCGU